rnacentral:rRNA from 1 species
AAGUCGAACGGUAACAGGAAACAGCUUGCUGUUUCGCUGACGAGUGGCGGACGGGUGAGUAAUGUCUGGGAAACUGCCUGAUGGAGGGGGAUAACUACUGGAAACGGUAGCUAAUACCGCAUAACGUCGCAAGACCAAAGAGGGGGACCUUCGGGCCUCUUGCCAUCGGAUGUGCCCAGAUGGGAUUAGCUUGUUGGUGGGGUAACGGCUCACCAAGGCGACGAUCCCUAGCUGG